GACUGCUUGGCGAAAUGGUAUCGCGUCACUUUCCGGCAGGGGAACUUGGUGAAGAUUGCGGGUUCGAGUCCCGUGGCGGUCG
rnacentral:tRNA from 1 species